UACGUAGGAUGCAAGCGUUGUCCGGAUUUACUGGGCGUAAAGCGCGCGCAGGCGGCACACCAAGUACGUCAUGAAAUCUCCCUGCUCAACGGGGAGGGUGUGAGGUAGACUGGUGAGCUAGAGGAGGGUAGAGGGGGGUAGAAUUGCUGGUGUAGCGGUGAAAUGCGCAGAUAUCGGGAGGAACACCAGUAGCGAAGGCGGCUCCCUGGGCCAUUCCUGACGCUGAGACGCGAAAGCGUGGGGAGCAAACAGG
rnacentral:rRNA from 1 species